AGUAAGGAAUAGCAUGGCAUGACAUGUGAUUCAAAAAAAAAAAGGAAAAAAGAAGUGACUUUGGGCAAUCCGCCCAUGCAUGAGAAAAUAGGAAAUGAAAGACAUUUCAAGGCUUUUGCCUUGAGAGAUCCACCCAUAACAAAGUAAAAGAGAAAAGGAGAAAGGAGAAAGAAGAGAAGAAAAAGUUGAGUGAAAAGGCAAACUAAGUGAGGGUUUGGUUUUGUGGGAUUUUAGAGUACUUGUGAGCUUAUUUCUUGCUAUUUUCCUAUCAUCAAGCUUCAUUACUUCUAGGAAUUCAUUCUUUACUGAGAGAUAUGGGUUAGAUCUCAUGGUAGCUAAGAAAUAUCAAGAUAAAAAGAACAUGGAUGAUCCAUGGGUUCAACUAAGUUAUGAUAGUAAUCGGCCUAGUGUGCAAUCAUCGGCACUUAUGGUCCACCGCAGAUAGGUUAAGGCAUCUCAUAGUACUUUAUUUCGAGUCGCUCUGCUGCUAGAGGUCUUGUCAUUUGUAAUAUAUUUAUUUACUGUAAAUAGACACUAGUCUCAAUGUGAUUGUACAAUUACAGAUUAUACAUUUAGAUGUAGUUUUACAAUUAUGUGGAAUAAAGGUUGAACAAUUUAUAA